CCCCUACUCACUAGCGCAUGUGAGCACUCUCCCAUCCUCCCUCUCUCUGCUCACUGUCUGCACCCGCGCCGAACAAAUGCCACGGCGCUCACCUGCCACCCUGCCCACAUGAGCCCGCUCCUGGCCGCGCCUCGCCGCUGUCGCUGAUGCUAUGAUACACCGCUCCUGUGGCGCCGCCUCGCCUCCGCCGCUGCUGGCCCGCACCUGCAGCUCGUUAGCCGUGCAGUAGCCGCCACGUUCCCCUUCCCCACGUGCGCUGCGCAGGCCAUCGCCUCCCACACACGCUGGAGUCCCCGCCUCCGCCAGCCACCAACGGCCGCAUCGUCUUUGCCCGUACACCGGCUCAGCCCCGUGACCGCGUCGUCUCGUGCUCCCCGCUGACCGCACCCCUGCCCCGCAAACACUGUCGCUGCUCGCCGCCACCCCUACACGUCGUCGCAACAUCACCCAGCACCACACCCGAGAUGCGCCGCAUCACGCUUGCCUACUUGGUGGUCGCCGUUCCCCUUUAGGGUCGCCGGAGGGCAGCUCCGGUGGACCGUCGCCGCCUUCUGUGCCCUGUCGGCGUGCCCGCACAGGCGCGGCCGGUUUAAAACGGUCGAUGUGCCACUAGUGAUAGGUCCCCGCACCUGGCUAAUUUGGUUAGUUAUCCCUAAUCACUCACUGACGUGUGGGGCCCGCCCUCUGUUGCAAUUAGUUUUUCCAAUUAAAUCGGUGACACUUACAGGCUGGCCCCACCUUUUAAUAAAUCUAAUUAGGCUUAAUUAAACUCAUAGUUAGAGCUGUGUCACUACUUGCUGGGUCCCACUAGGCCCUGUUGACCGGUCAACCCGCUGACUGGGCCAGUCGAGUCAUGACAUGUGGGUCCCUGUUGACCUGCUGACUCAGCUGACUGGCCCCACAUGUCAGCCGCACAUGCACAUCUAGUGUACCCACAACAUUUAACAUUUAAUAUAUUUUCGAAUUAAAAUAAAUCCAGGAAUUUCAGAAAUUGUUUAAAACUUUGAAAAUUAAUAGAAAAUAAACCAUAAGUCGGAUGAAAAUACUUUAUACAUGAAAGUUGCUCAGAAAAGUGAGAUGAAUCUGAAUAUGCAAUCCGUUUGUCCACCGCACGUCCCUAGCAUAGCGAACAUGCAACCAUCCACCUCCGUUUAGUCUUUCCGAAAACAUCAAACACCAGGAAUACUUUCUUGGAUGUUUUCACCCUUCACCGGCAUUACCUAGUACUGUGUUAGGUCACCUCUGACGCUACGUAUUUCCAUGUCUUGCUUUGUGAUGUAUUGUUGCUCUGUUAUUUAUUUGUUUCCCCUUCAUUGCUUAUUUUUGGUAGACCCCGAUACUAUGAUAUACCCCGAGACCGUUGAUGCUUGGAUGUUCGACUACAACUACGCUUUUGAAGAUUCCUUUUGUCCGCAGAGCAACCAGGCAAGCCCCCCUUCAUCUACUCGAUAUCGCCUAUUCCUUCUCUCUACUGCUUGCAUUAGAGUAGUGUAGCAUGUUACUGCUUUCCGUUAAUCCUAUUUUUAUGCAUAGCCUGUCUUUUCUACUACCGUUGUCACCUUUACCUACAAUCCUAAAUGCUUAGUAUAGGAUGCUAGUUUAUCAUCAAUGGUCCUACAUUCUUGUCCGUCUGCCAUGCUAUACUACUGGGCCGUGAUCACUCGGGAGGUGAUCACGGGUCUAUACUUAUAUACAUGAUAUAUGAUACAUGUGGUAACUAAAGUCGGGUCGGCUCGUAGAGUACCCGCAAGUGAUUCCGGUGUGGGGGCUGAAAGGAAAGGUGGUUCCAUCCCGGUAGUGGUGGGCCUGGGUUCCCAGUGGCCCCCGACUGUUACUUUCUGGUGGAGUGACAUGGCAGGUUGAGACCACCUAGGAGAGAGGUGGGCAUGGCCCUGGUCGGUGUCCGUGGUUACAUCAAUUAACACGCUUAACGAGAUCUUGGUAUUUGAUCUGAGUCUGGACACUGGCCUAUACGCACUAACCAACUACGUGGGAACAGUUAUGGGCACUCUACGUCGUGGUAUCAGCCGAAGCCUUCUUGACGUCAGCGACUGAGCGGCGCACGCUGGAUUAGACUGUAACGCCUGCUCUUGUAUUAGGGAGGCUAGGUCUGCUUACCUUCCACGUACGCAACUUGCAGGUGUGCAAUGGGCGAUGGCCCUAGACCCCUGCAUGCAUAGGAUUUAGACCGGCGUGCUGACCUCUCUGUUGUGCCUAGGUAGGGCUUCGACGUGUUGAUCUUCCGAGGCCGGGCAUGACCCAGGAAAGUGUGUCCGGCCAGAGGGAUCGAGCGUGUUGGGUAAUGUGGUGCACCCCUGCAGGGAUGUUUAUCUAUUCGAAUAGCCGUAUCUGUGACGCCCCGAGACCGAUGCACCAGGUGUCUUCCAGUUAUUCGCCGAUGUUGCCAUGUCAUUUGCUUGCGUGUUGCAUCUUAUCAUGUCAUCAUGUGCAUUGCACCAUCAUGUUUUCAAAACUUGCAUCAGUCUAGUUCUCCCCAUCCUCUCCGUUGUCCGUUCUAAGCCCAGACACACUUGCACGCGCCCGCGACAUGUCCGAAAUAUUAUUUUAUAAGUGGCCGGAAAAUGUUCUCGGAAUGGGUUGAAAGUUGGCGUGCGGUCUUAUUAUACUAUAGGUAGGCCGCCUGCCAAGUUUCAUCGCAUCCGGAGUCCGUUUGACGCCCCAACGGAUAACUAUAGCGGCAGUAUAGCCGGUCUUUGCUUCGGACGUUUUCGGUCUCCGGAAGCCGUGCCGGGCUGCUAUUUUCUUCUCUCCUCCCAGCCAACUCCCACUUUACACAGCCCACACAGCCCACCUAGUUUCCCCCUCUGUCCGGAGCCAUCCGAUGUUGAUCGAACGGUUCGAAAACAGGUGAAAACCCCCUCCUCUAGCCCUCCUUUUCCUAUUUAAACACCCCCUAGUCCAUUUUGGGCAUUCCUAUUCUAAACCCUAACCCUCUAGCCCUCCUUCCUCGGAUUCGGCGCCGCCACCUCGAAAUUCAUGUCCAGCCGCUGCUCCGCCGCCACUUGUCGCCUCCCCGCAGGCCAGCAUCGUCGCCAGCCUCGCCCUCCACCUCUCCCUGCUUGCCACGUCGCCCUCAAACCUCCACCCACGUCGCAGGCCCGCCGGGCCCAUCUGGAGCCCGCCCGGGCCUGGAACCGCGCCGCCUCCCGCAGCGCAGGAGUGCUCGACCCGCACCCCGUGCGCCUCCCGCCUUGGGCUCGAUCUGGAUCGGGACGCCACCGUCUGCAGCGCCCCUCGCGCCUCGCGGACCUCGUCGGAGCGCCGUUUUCCGUCGAGCUCGACCCCCUCUGCAGCCGUGCAAGUCACCACUUCAUCGGCCUCGUUGUACGCCAUCGGCCGAGCCUCCCAGCACCCACGCCUCACUCUUGCCACCUGUGUUUCCCCGUCCGUUGCCGGUGGACCUCGUCGCCGCUUGGAACGGAACCCCCGGGGCCAGAUCCACCCGGAUCCGGCCAGGUCCGACCUUCCCCGCCGCCAGCCGGUCGACCCCAGCACUGGAACGCCACCCCACCUCCAUACGGAGUCCGCCGCCGCUGCUCCCUGAACUCGAGGAGGACGAGCGCCCAACUCGCCACCUCUUUUGCCGCUCGCACGCACCUGGGCCGCAUGGGCCCCGCUAACCGGCCCAGCUUCUCUAAGGCCCAGCGACCGGCCUCCUCCCACCGAACUAGGCCAAGCUCAUGGUGAGCACCCUCCAGCCCCUCUGCUCCUGUUGUCCCAGCCAGUUUCGACCUAUUAAUGUUUUUUUAGAUCUGCGAAUUUAGUUAUUUUUUCAGAGACAACAGUUUUGCAGAAAAACCCUUCUAGUUCAUGCAUUUAAUUACUCCACAACCGUGCAUCGGAAUUAAACAAACUUAAUAUGUAAAAUGCUUAGAAUUUUGUAUAGAUUAAUAAUUUGCCACUUUCACCCAUGUUUAAGAUGUUUAAAAUGAUGUUUGCUUUAAUUUGCUUAAAUAACAUGCUAAAACGGUUUAAUUCAUAACUAAAUAACCGUAGCUCCAAACUUAAUAAACUUUAUAUGUAAAUAGGGUAGAAAAAUGCCUAGUUUAACAUGGUAUACUUGCUUUGCAUGUUUAAUAACUCUAAAAUUUGGUUUAGAGCAGAACAUGACCAAACCUAAUAUAUGCAUAUGGGGAUUUACCGGAUUUGUUGUUUGUUGUUCCGGCCUCAUUUAAACUUGCCUAGAUAGGUAGUUUUACUUUGCUUCACCUCUUGCCAUGCUAACCAACAUUUAAUUUUGUUGAGCACAUAAACGGGAGAGAACUAAAUAACUUGAAUGUGGUGUUUCGUCAAUAUGCAACUCGUUGCAUAUUGAGCUCCACUUAACUUGUAGUUUUGCUUGUGCACUUUGCCAUGCCAUGCAUCUUUAAACCGGACAUGCAUCAUACUUGGUUGCGCAUCAUGCCAUGCUUAUGUGAUGGUUGUUUACUAUGUUGUUUGCUCCUUUCCGGUGUUGCUUCUUCGGGUUGGUUCCAAUAAUGUCGCGUUUGUGAGGAUUCGUUCGACUACAUCCGUUUGUCUUCUUCAUGGACUCAUUCUUCUUCCUUCCGGGAUCUCAGGCAAGAUGACCAUACCCUCGAAAUCACUUCUAUCUUUGCUUGCUAGUUGCUUGAUCUUUUGCUAUGUCGUGAUACCUACCACAUGCUUUAUCAUGCCUCCCAUAUUGCCAUGUUAAGCCUCUAACCCACCUUGUCCUCGCAAACCGUUGUUUGGCUAUGUUACCGCUUUGCUUAGCCCCUCUUAUAGCGUUGCUAGUUGCAGGUGAAGAUGGAGUUUGUUCCAUGUUGGAACAUGGAUAUGUUGGGAUAUCACAAUAUCUCUUAUUUUAAUUAAUGCACCAAUAUGCUUGGUAAAGGGUGAAAGGCUCGGCCUUAUGCCUGGUGUUUUGUUCCACUCUUGCCGCCCUAGUUUUCGUCAUACCGAUGUUAUGUUCCUUGAUUUUGCGUUCCUUACGCGGUUGGGUUAUAAUGGGAACCCCUUGACAGUUCGCCUUGAAUAAAACUCCUCCAGCAAGGCCCAACCUUGGUUUUACCAUUUGCCACCUAAGCCUUCUUUCCCUUAGGUUCUGCAGACUCAAGGGUCAUCUUUAUUUUAAACCCCCGGGCCAGUGCUCCUCUGAGUGUUGGUCCAACCUGUCAGCCGCCGGUGGCCACCAGGGGCAACUCUGGGCUGGCCUACCGGCAGUUUGGACAAUCCUGUGUGCCCUGAGAACGAGAUAUGUGCAGCUCCUAUCGGGAUUUGUCGGCACAUCUGGGUGGCUUUGCUGGUCUUGUUUUACCAUUGUCGAAAUGUCUUGUAACCGGGAUUCCAAGUCUGAUCGGGUCUUCCUGGGAGAAGGAAUAUCCUUCGUUAACCGUGAGAGCUUGUGAUGGCCUAAGUUGGGACACCCCUGCAGGGUUUUGAACUUUCGAAAGUCGUGCCCGUUGUUAUGGGCAGAUGGGAAUUUGUUAAUAUCCGGUUGUAGAGAACUUGACGCUUAACUUAAUUAAAAUGCAUCAACCGCGUGUGUAGCCAUGAUGGUCUUUUUCCGGCGGAGUCCGGGAAGUGAACACGGUUCUUGUGUUAUGCUUGGACGUAAGUAGUUUCAGGAUCACUUCUUGAUCACUUCUAGUUCACGACCGUGCUUUGUUUCUCUUCUCGCUCUAUUUUGCGUAAGUUAGCCACCAUAUAUGCAAAUGCUUGCUGCAACUCCACCUCAACCCCUUUUCCUACCCAUAAGCUUAAAUAGUCUUGAUCGCGAGGGUGUGAGAUUGCUGAGUCCCCGUGACUCACAGAUUACUGCAAACAGUUGCAGGUGCCGAUGAUAACCGUGCAGGUGACGCAACCGAGAUCAAGGAGGAGCUCGAUGAAGAUCGUGUUCGUUGUGUUGUUUCGUUCUAGUUGAUCAGUAUUGGAGCCCAGUCGGGGCGAUCGGGGAUCUUUUGCAUUAGGGGUAGUCUUCUUUUAUUUUGGUUUCGUAGUCGGACCUUGAUUGUAUUCUGGAUGAUGUAAUACUAUAUUCAUGUAUUGUGUGAAGUGGCGGUUAUAAGCCAACUCUUUAUCCCUUUCUUAUUCAGUACAUGGGAUGUGUAAAGAUUACACCUCUUGCGACAUACCUACAAUGCGGUUAUGCCUCUAAGUCGUGCUACGACACAUGGGAGAUAUAGCCGCAUCGUGGGUGUUACAAGUUGGUAAUCAGAGCCUUCCCCGACUUAGGAGCCCCCUGCUUGAUCGAAUCGUUGGCGUUGUUGAGUCUAUAAAAAUGUUUUGAGUCUUAUAGGAUUAUAUAUAUCAAAGAG
rnacentral:lncRNA from 1 species